rnacentral:rRNA from 1 species
GGAGGGCGCAAGCGUUGUUCGGAAUUACUGGGGCGUAAAGGGCGGGCAGGCGGUCUGUUAAGUCUUUGUGAAAAUCCGGGGCUCAAACCCCCGUGAAAACGCAGAAGAUACUGGCAGACUUGAGACCAGUAGAGGCUAGCGGAAUUCCUGGUGUAGCGGUGGAAUGCGUAGAUAUCAGGAAGAACACCUGUGGCGAAGGCGGCUAGCUGGGCUGGAUCUGACGCUCAUCCGCGAAAGCGUGGGGAGCAAACAGGAUUAGAUACCCUGGUAGUCCACGCCGUAAACGAUGGGUACUAGAUGCCGGGUCUAUAGACAGGGUCGGUGUCGCAGCUAACGCAUUAAGUACCCCGCCUGGGGAGUACGGCCGCAAAGGCUG